UACGAAGGGUGCAAACGUUGCUCGGAAUCAUUGGGCGUAAAGCGCACGUAGGCGGCCUGUUAAGUCGGAUGUGAAAUCCCUCGGCUCAACCGAGGACGUGCAUUCGAAACUGGCAGGCUCGAGUAUGGAAGAGGGUCGCGGAAUUCCCGGUGUAGUGGUGAAAUGCGUAGAUAUCGGGAGGAAUACCAGUGGCGCAAGCGGCGCCCUGGCCGUGACCUGACACUGAGCCACGACGGCGUGGGGAGCAAACGGG
rnacentral:rRNA from 1 species